GACUCACGCGGGAAUCUUACCGGGUCCGGACACACUGAGGAUUGACAGGUUUCGAGAGUUUUUUUGGAGUUCGCUCCAGAAUGCUCUCUUAAAUAUGCUAGUCCUUUCAUGAUUAUGUGAUAGGUGGUGCAUGGCCGUUCUUAGUUCGUGGAGUGAUCUGUCUGCUUAAUUGCGUUUCACUAAAGGCGUCAUUAUAUUUUUGUGCUUGUGUUUGACCCCUCUUUCUUCGGAUUGAGCGCGUGUCUUUCACACACAAUUACUUUGACGUCUGAAAGCAACGAACGUGACCGUAACCUCUUGUUGCCUUCUCUUCUCUUCGGAGAAUGCUAGUUUUUUUCUUCGGAUAAAUUCUAGUAUAUGGAGGCUUUUACUCAAACUAGAGGGACCGCUGUUACUUUCUUUAAACCUGAGGAAGGUUGCGGCAAUAACAGGUCUGUGAUGC
rnacentral:rRNA from 1 species